rnacentral:lncRNA from 1 species
GGCGGGUAGUCUGCAUUUUUUUCAAGCUCUCAUUAUGCUGCACCGGUAUCUCCAGAUGCCUUCUCCAGGGAACUAAGCUGCUUUCUGUUUAAAACUGCAAAGAGCAAUGGAGAGUUUAAGCAAAGACCAUCCUUCUCCGGAUUCUUCCCUGCCACGCUCUGCAGCCCGUAAGGAGUAUGCUGUGCCAGAUGUCAUCAUAACGCACCGCUUGAGGGACCGGGAGCUGCUCAGAAAAAGAAAAGCAGAAGCCCUGGAGAAAGAUUCGACUCAGUGGGUUCUGAGGGUGCAUAAGAACCAACAGCAAAAGAGAGGCAGAGGAGCCAAAAGAGGACGGGGCCGUCAGCCGGAGGUGAAGGCCACCCUAGACCCGGAACCAACCACAGACCCCCAGCCUGAGCUGCACGAGGAGGCUGAACCAGUGCACUCUGAGCCAGCACUGCCUGAACCAGUGCACUCUGAGCCAGCACUGCCUGAACCAGUGCACUCUGAGCCAGCACUGCCUGAACCAGUGUACCAAGAACAGCUGCCCAUGCUGACCGUCCACAACCCGGUCAGUGGGAUGCAACCAGUAGCAGUGGAAGGGGAGCCAGCAGCCAGGAGCUUGGAUCCUGCAGGUGAAGAGGAGGUGGUGAAACCAACAGAAGCAGAAAUACUGGAAGAUUUCAAUACUCCUCUGGAAAACGACCACCAGGAUAACGAAUUCAACACACAUGUUCUAUAUUAAUCAGAAAUUUUCAUUCACGAAGCCUAGGCACGAUGAUCUGUAUUGAUUUUCUGAUUGUUUGGGGAUUUUCCUUAUUUUGACUCCUGCCUCACAAACUCUGAUGAAUACUGCAGCAGCUUCUUUCUGGUUAGUCAUAAAGCCCACAUUCUCCUUGUCACUCUGCUUUCUAUGACUCUUUCAGGUUACAGUGUGGUCGACUGUACAGAGGCAGUCCUUUGGGAGUUGCCUGCUGCCUGUGGCUUAUGAGCCCCCUGCUCUCUCUGCAGACAGGUUGUCUCAUUCAGGCCCACAGAAGGCUUCAUGGUGUCCUGCCACAGCACAGGUUAAGCAUAUAGUCCAGCAUCCAUCCUUCUGAAAGCCAUUUCUGAUUUGCAUAAAUGUGAGUGGCACUGCAAACCUGAAACCCAGUAUAUUUUUUAGUCAGCUGGAGCUGCACACCUUGGGCUUUUUCCUGUAUUCCUGAAGCCAUACAUCCCUUUCUGCUUUUAUUUUCACUCUGAAGGUCUUUCUCAAGGUCAGUUUUCCUCUGCAAAAAACAAUAAAAUUGUUUUGCUAAAGCC